ACUAUGUCUUGUGGGUGAUUCUUUAAAGAAUUUCAAUUUCCAAAACAGUGUCUGGUGCAUGCCUUGGGUCGGUUCUGCUAGCCAUUGAUUAAAAAAGUAAUGUGGCUAAAGGGAGUUUCUUUUUAAGAAAUGGCUGCACGCUUCUCUGUUCUUCUGGUCAUGUUGUAUGAGUUUAUGGAAUUAAUGUUGGAAUGACAGCCUUGACUUAGUUAAAUGUGGAUUUAAUGAUUAAAAAUGUUAGUUUAGUGGUGUUAGUGAGUAAAAAAUGUAGUUUGUUUUGGCAUUAUCAACGAAGCAAAAGUGUUGACUAUGAUGGCUUUGCAAAUUAGAUGUGGUUAGCCAACUAAUAAUGUUCUAAAGUACAGAUUUACCUUUUCAGUGUUAAUUUUAUUUCUCAUAUUUCUUUCAUCU